rnacentral:pre_miRNA from 1 species
AGCUUUCGAAUUCGUGCUGAGAUUUCGUCAGGCACCAACGCAUUAGGGCUGAUCAAACUUUCACGAUAAGUGAAGUU